GGUGGCUCAGUGGUUAAGCAUUUGGCUGCUAACCAAAAGGUCAGCAGUUCAAGUCCACUAGCCA
rnacentral:tRNA from 1 species